rnacentral:rRNA from 1 species
UCAUUGGAAGCUUGCUUCCUUUGGUUAGCGGCGGACGGGUGAGUAACACGUGGGCAACCUGCCUGUAAGACUGGGAUAACUUCGGGAAACCGGAGCUAAUACCGGAUAAUCCUUUUCCUCUCAUGAGGAAAAGCUGAAAGACGGUUUACGCUGUCACUUACAGAUGGGCCCGCGGCGCAUUAGCUAGUUGGUGAGGUAACGGCUCACCAAGGCGACGAUGCGUAGCCGACCUGAGAGGGUGAUCGGCCACACUGGGACUGAGACACGGCCCAGACUCCUACGGGAGGCAGCAGUAGGGAAUCUUCCGCAAUGGACGAAAGUCUGACGGAGCAACGCCGCGUGAGCGAUGAAGGCCUUCGGGUCGUAAAGCUCUGUUGUUAGGGAAGAACAAGUACCGGAGUAACUGCCGGUACCUUGACGGUACCUAACCAGAAAGCCACGGCUAACUACGUGCCAGCAGCCGCGGUAAUACGUAGGUGGCAAGCGUUGUCCGGAAUUAUUGGGCGUAAAGCGCGCGCAGGCGGUCCUUUAAGUCUGAUGUGAAAGCCCACGGCUCAACCGUGGAGGGUCAUUGGAAACUGGGGGACUUGAGUACAGAAGAGGAAAGUGGAAUUCCACGUGUAGCGGUGAAAUGCGUAGAGAUGUGGAGGAACACCAGUGGCGAAGGCGACUUUCUGGUCUGUAACUGACGCUGA